AAGAGAAUAUAAGGAUUAUUCAGGAGGAAAUCUCAAAGUUAAAGGAACAGAUGGAUCAAAAAGACGGUGUGAUAUUUCUCAAGGAGGAAGCUCAUCGGAACAGAAGGAUUAAUGAUGACAUCCAGGAAUUGUCAGUGACAGAUGAGGCCCUACCGGUUGAAAAAUUCGAUCACCCCUAUUUGUUGAACACAGUGCUGAGGGAAAC